rnacentral:rRNA from 1 species
GUUGUGGUUAAAAGCUCGUAGUUGGAUCUCGGCAAACUGAGGGCGGUUUACUUGCUAGUACUACUGCCCUAUAGUUUGUAUUAUUGCUGGAGGUUUAGAGGUGAUCCUAAUCGAUUGUCUCUGGAUGCCAGCAGGUUUACUUUGAAAAAAUUAGAGUGCUCAAAGCAGGCUUAUACGCCUGAAUAUUCGUGCAUGGAAUAAUAGAAUAGGAACUUGUUCUUAUUUUGUUGGUUUUCGAGAAUCAAGUUAAUGAUUAAUAGGGACAGUUGGGGGCAUUUGUAUUCAAGCGAAAGAGGUGAAAUUCUUGGACCGUUUGAAGACAAACUACUGCGAAAGCAUUUGCCAAGAAUGUUUUCAUUAAUCAAGAACGAAAGUUAGAGGUUCGAAGGCGAUUAGAUACCGCCCUAGUUCUAACCAUAAACGAUGCCAGCUAGCGAUCUGCCUUCGUUUUCUUUGUAGACAAGGCAGGAAGCUUCCGGGGAACCGAAGCGUGUGGGUUCCAGGGGAAGUAUGGUUGCAAAGCUGAAACUUAAAGGAAUUGACGGAAGGGCACCACCAGGAGUGGAGCCUGUGGCUUAAUUUGACUCAACACGGGGAAUCUCACCAGGCCCGGACACUGGAAGGAUUGACAGAUUGAUAGCUCU